rnacentral:rRNA from 1 species
UACGGAGGGUGCGAGCGUUGUUCGGAUUUAUUGGGCGUAAAGCGCGUGUAGGCGGUUAGAUAGGUCGGUUGUGAAACUGGAGGCUCAACCUCCAGACGUCGACCGAAACCAUCUGGCUAGAGUCCGGAAGAGGAGAGUGGAAUUCCUGGUGUAGCGGUGGAAUGCGCAGAUAUCAGGAAGAACACCCGUGGCGAAGGCGGCUCUCUGGGACGGUACUGACACUGAGGUGCGAAAGCGUGGGGAGCAAACAGGAUUAGAAACCCCUGUAGU